UUUAAGGUGGUAUGGGAGUCUAAAAUAAAAAUGAUAGAAUUUGUUCAUACUUUGCCAAAACAUAGUAUCUAUUGAUAUAUGAUGAAAAAUAUAAUAAAAAUGAUAGGUCACCGCGCAUUUUCUCAAGCUACAGGACGUGACAAAAUGACACAUUUUGUAUGGACUAUACAGGAAAAAACACCAUUUUGUGAUUAGAAAUUAAACAAAAUGAUAGAAUUGUAAAAUACUUAAGGAAAAGAUAGCUUUCAGAAAUUGCUUUGAGAAUAUCAAAAGAAAAGAUAGGGUCACCGUACGUUUUUUCCGGCUAAAAUACAAAAUAGGAAAAUACCAUGUAGAAUCCUUCAGAAAAUGCACUGCUUUAGAGUUACGUCCCCUUAAAAUGCCAUUAUUAAAAAAAUAUAAAAACAACCAAAAAUAAUCAACAUUUGCAAAAAUAUUAAUAUUUAUAAGUUAUAUUCUUAUAAAUUGGUUCUUUUAAAUGAAUAUUCACAUUAAAUAUCUGCAUUCCUGCAUCAAAUUUUGCUAACUUGUUAGAAAAUCUGGACCUUUGGUUCUCUGUUUUUUACAAUCCAAGAUGGAGGAAGACACCCAUACCACCUUAA
rnacentral:lncRNA from 1 species